rnacentral:tRNA from 1 species
GCAGUGGUGGUUCAGUGGUAGAAUACUCACCUUCCAUGUAGGAGACCCAAGUUCAAUUCCUGGCCAGUGUA